AUCGAUAUGUGAGGCUUUUUUACUGUAAUUAUAUGCAAAACUGCAUAGUACAAUUUAGGUAGUUUCUCCUAGUGACAGUGGAGUUCUGUAAUUUGAGAUUUCUGUUUAUUUGGGUCUGCUGAGUACAAUGUACUCAGCAGGGUGCAAUGAUUUUUUGACCAGCACUUGAAGAGUGCAUGGUUAGCAUAUGGUGUAAUCGUCAUUUGAGAAUGAGUGAGUGCACAAUGAGUAAUCCACUUGUCUGUUCAAAAGGCUUUGCUAACAGGGUCACCGGUCGCCAUAUUGCGUUCCUUGAUACGGGACGUACACUUUCUCUAGCUUAACACUUCGUUGACACGUGGAGAACGAGAUGCGAAACGCACACUUACUCGAUACGCGGGGACGAGGUGGACAACGCACACUAACUCGAUGUCGCUCGCAUAGCGACUUUUCUCAAACGUACAGCAAAGCUGGCGUAAUCCAGUUAGUGUACAAUUUAGAAGACAGAUUUAGAAUAAUCGAGUGUACCAGCCAGGGUCGGGUUCAAAAUCAUAAUUCUUUAUUCAUCGCAUGCAGUUGUUCUUUUAUACUUUUCAAGGUUCGAUACGUUUUAUAACUUUACUUAAAGAACACUAUUUUAACGGCAAACGCGGGUCGUCAACACGGGUUAUACAGGGUAUUACCGUAGGUAACCUGUCGCGGUCGCCAUGUUGCAGGUUUGAACUUACUUGACUGGGGCAUUUGAUAGCGAUUUGUGACUAAAGACAUCUUUAAGUUACGGUCGCCAUGUUAUAUACCAUAUAUGGUGAACAUUUUUUUACCGAGAAGUAGUGCAUCAUGUUCAAGUGCCCUUAAUCUUACGAUACCAAUUCUUAACACAAGUCAAAUUUGAUGUUUUAUUUUUAAACAAGCUACCAGAACCGCUCCAAGGAGUUCCAUGAGAAUUGUAAUCUUACUCACAUAGUCCGACCGAAGACUAUGGAGGAUAUCAAACUUAUUGUUAACUGCCCAUUAACUAUCCCAAGUGGUUAGCAGUAUCUGUGGUACAGAGUGCUGAGGGAAGUUUCGGUAUGCAUCGGAAUACAUUGAAACACAUAGUCUCCUGGUCAGAACAAGAGUGUUCUGGAUCUUGGAACUUGCAUUCCUUUUAUUUGGUAACAGAUCAAUCGUUACAUACAAACACAUUGUCAAUCGAACUUAGACCCCUGGGGUGGCGGUGACAAUAUUUCGGCAAUAGCAUUUUUGGGUUGAAACUUGAGCCAAGCGCGUCGUUCAACGCACGACCACCAACGAGUAAAGUGUAAUCAGCAAAACAUGUGCACUCAAGAGCGUCGGUGCAAAGUGCUUAUGCAUGUUUUGGGUGAAUGCGUGUAUAGCAUAUUACGAUACCGAUUCUUAACACAAGCCAAACUUUAAAAGCAUCCCGAAAUAAAGCAUAUUCUCUUGUCCCAUAGAAUCAGUCUUUGAUGAGGGACAAGCUCUUCGCGGGAACUGUGAUAGAACAGAGAACGCGACACAGCUCCGUUGCUGUACGAACUAAGAAUGAUUUUAUUGAGUUCUGUUUCAUACUCGAUCGGUGGUGGCUACGUGACAUCGCCUGGGUGGCGCGAUCGCAGUUGUGCUGAUGUUUUAUGUUUACCUCGAUAGGUAGGACGCAAGAAUUGUAUGAUUUUUUUUAGCGCUGUUUGAUCAGUUUACAUUGGUUUUGUACAAAUUACUCUCUUUUUUUGCUCAAUUUUUUUUCUAGUUUGUUCCAAGAGUUUUUCGACGAUUUAUAGCACAUAUUUUUAGUUGGUUUCCUUGUUGCUUUUUGAUUGUUCACACUCUUGCAUUUUUAAUUGAAUGUAGUCCAGCUUCUUGCUGAGCUGGUUUUUUUCACUAUUGUCGUCUAAUUACGCGUGAAAAAGUUUACAAAUCACGGCGAAUAUAAGCACUAUCGGUAUUACCUUUAGCACACCAGCAGCGACAAACUUCAGAAUCUUCACUUCGAUCCUCACACGUUCGUGUACCACGGUCGCCAUAAAAGAUACUUCAAUGUUGAUUUCAGGAAACAGAUUGACUCGUCGUUUAGUUUUAUAAAAAUUGGAUAUCUGCUUAAUGUUAAUAUAUAGAUACUCAUUCUGUCUGUAACUGCUGUCCGGAUUGGCAGCCCACCGAAUUCAUCAUUAUAAUUCACAAUCUUUUAGGUAUAAUUCUAAAUAAAUACGAAAUGAUGUAGAACAGAUUUCAUGAUAUUGGAAAAUGGACUUUCGGUACUGAUCUAAAAAUAAAAUUUGGGCGUUUGAUAGCGAUUUCUGAUUAAGGUUAUCUUCGAGUUACGGUCGCCAUGUGAUGUAUGGUGAACCUUUUACCGAGAAGUAGUGCAUCAUGUGCAAGUGCCCUUGAUCUUACGACAGCAAUUCUAAACACAAGUCAAAUUUGGAAAAUUAUUUUUGAAAAAGCUAUCAAAACCGUUCCAAGGAGUUUCAUAAGAAUUGUAAUCUUACGACAACGGUUCUUGACACAAGUCAAAUUUUGACAUCAUUUCGUAAUUACGCAUCCAGGUUUGCACCAAGGAGUUCCGUAAGAAAGGGAUCAAUACUUACCUACUUCUUACUUGUUGUCUGUACAAUGUCUUCCCGAUCGUCCGUGCAAGUGUAGGCCGUGAGCGGUCGUACGGCACUGGUUUUCUUUUCUGUUCUCACGACCAACGAGUCACACAAUUAAUUACAGCACUUUAUUUCCUAUAAACUUAUCUUUCUAACACUUAACUACGAUCAUCCACCAAAACAACGACCGACGAUCAACCACCGAUAAGUCACCGCAGAGAGACGAAAACGUACGCCGACGGUCCACACAAGUUCUAAGGGCAAUACACCACAGCCCCGGGUAACGACACCACAACAAUACAACCACGCCCCGGCGUCAAUCGCGGGCCUUUUAACUUGCCGUCGCAAGAACUCAUUCUCCCGAUCUGAAAAGAAAUAAGAGAAAAGAGAAAAGCCAAACCGGGCGUCGUCCACUCUGGCUUCAUUAGUUCGGCCACGUGACUGAGACCUUGUUGGGGUUCAGUCAGCGCUGCCGGGCGACAAACAAAAAUUAAAAGAAAAACAUUUCUCCGGCAUUGGAGCGAGAACAUUAUAUCACCAGGUCAACCAGCAACAAGCAGUAAGCAUUCUCUCUGCUUGCAUCGCUCGUUUCUUGGUUAACCGGCGUUGGUCUAUAAACAUGACCGUGAAAUCCACAUGUGAUGUAAUCCACUAAUUGCGUGGAGCACCAUGGGGAAAUAAAGGGUCUUUCUUAGAUCAAUGGUGAUCAUUGAUCUUUAGAAUUAUUCAAUACAGGGAGGGAAAUGCUUCCUUCGGUCGGCAGGACCGCUACACAAGCACCGUUCUGUCAAGUCCUGAUGUUAAGGUUCGAUUUAUAACACUUUUCUACGUCAACGGAACUUGCGUGAUAUCAAGAAUAACUACUAGACUCGGUCCAAGGUCCACUUAUGAUUGAAUUUUAUUUCUACUCAACUUAACUACCGAGGCCUCGUUCUCGGUGGCGGACGUGACCCUUUUUGUUAUGUCAGCAUAACCGCGUUCACUGCCCGGGUGGUCAUCGCCCGGGUGGUGUGAUCGCGUUUAUGCUGAUCAUUUGUUUACGCAGUUUUCACUGCUAUGUUUAUGUAGAGCUUAUCGCUGUUAUAAGAAUGUAGGGCCGCAUCCACCACAGUUCUUUCAGUUGCAUACUUAGCAACUAUAAAGCUGUUCAUUUUAGAUGCUGGUUAGUUAACAAUUAAUAGUAAUUACUUACAGUUUCAGUAUAUUACAGUGUCUUUUCUGGGUGUCGGUAACCGGGAAAACGUGGUUUGAACAAUCAUAUAAGAAUUUUCUUAUACUGGGUGGAGCUGAUUGUAGUCAAUAAACUGUAAAAAUUGAUCUUGCAAACAAUCGAAAUUAUCCACUUAAUGUAUCACUAAUGUGCAUCAAAUGUUGACUCACUGUGUACAAUAAAUACUCUUAAUAAAUAAAUUAUUUUCCAUUCUGUCUGUCGCUGCUGUCCGAAUUGGCAGUCCACCGAAUUCAUUAGCUCAUCAUUAUAGUUCAAAAUCUUUUAGGUACAAUUCUACGGAAAUACGAAACGAUCUAGAACAGAUUUAAUGAUGUUGGAAAAUGGACUCUUGAUACGAAUCUAAAAAUAAAAUUUGGCCAUUUGAUAGCGAUUCCUGACUAAAGUUAACUUCGAGUUACGGUCGCCAUGUGAUACACCAUAUUUGGUGAACCUUUUACCGAGAAGUAGUGCAUCAUGUGCAAGUGCCCUUGAUCUUACGACAGCAAUUCUUAACAUAAGUCAAAUUGGGAAAAUCGUUUUUGGAAAAGCUAUCAAAACCGUUCCAAAGAGUUCCAUAAGAAUUGUAAUCUUACGACAACGAUUCUUAACACAAGUCAAAUUUUGACAUCAUUUCGUAAUUACGCAUCCAGGAUUGCACCAAGGAGUUCCGUAAGAAAGGGAUUAAGUAUUGACUUACCUACUUCUUACUUGUUGUAUGUACAAUGUCUUCCCGAUGGUCAGUGCAAGCACCGUUCUUCAAGUUGCAUACUUAGCAGCUAUAAAGCUGUUCAUUUUGGUUGCUGGUCAGUUAACAGUUAAUAGUAAUUACUUAUAGUUUCAGUAUAUUACAGUGUCUUUUCUGGGUGUCGGUAACCGGGAAAACGUGGUUUGAACAAUCUUUACACAUAAAUUACAUAUAAGAAUUUUCUUAUACUGGGUGGAGCUGACUGUAGUCAAUAAACUUUAAAAAUUGAUCUUGCAAACAAUCGAAAUUAUCCACUUAAUGUAUCACUAAUGUGCAUCAAAUGUUGACUCACUGUGUACAAUAAAUACUCUUAAUAAAUAAAUUAUUUUCCAUUCUGCCUGUCGCUGCUGUCCGAAUUGGCAGUCCACCGAAUUCAUUAGCUCAUCAUUAUAAUUCAAAAUCUUUUAGGUACAAUUCUACAGAAAUACGAAACGAUCUAGAACAGAUUUAAUGAUGUUGGAAAAUGGACUCUUGAUACUAAUCUAAAAAUAAAAUAUGACCAUUUGAUAGCGAUUCCUGACAAAAGUUUACUUCGAGUUACGGUCGCCAUGUGAUACACCAUAUUUGGUGAACCUUUUACCGAGAAGUAGUGCAUCAUGUGCAAGUGCCCUUGAUCCUACGACAGCAAUUCUUAACAUAAGUCAAAUUGGGAAAAUCGUUUUUGGAAAAGCUAUCAUAACCGUUCCAAAGAGUUCCAUAAGAAUUGUAAUCUUACGACAACGAUUAUUAACACUUUGACAUCAUUUCGUAAUUACGCAUCCAGGAUUGCACCAAGGAGUUCCGUAAGAAAGGGAUCAAUAUUUACCUACUUCUUACUUGUUGUCUGUACAAUGUCUUACCGAUGGUCAGUGCAAGCGCCGUUCUUUAAGUUGCAUACUUAGCAGCUGUAUAAAGCUGUUCAUUUAAGUUGCUGGUCAGUUAAUAGUUAAUAGUAAUUACUUAUAGUUUCAGUAUAUAACAGUGUCUUUUCUGGGUGUCGGUAACCGGGAAAACGUACUUUGAACAAACUAUAUAUAAAUUACCAUACCAGAAUUUCCCCUUACUGGGCGGUGCUGACUGUAGCCAGUAAACUGAUACAAUUUAUCUUACAAAUACUCGAAAUAAUCUACUUAAUGUAUCACAAAUGUACAUCAAAUGUUGACUCACUGUGUACAAUGAAUACUCUUGAUAAGUCACCGAAUUCAUUAGCUAUAAUGAUGAGCUUUAACAUUUUUUUAGCAACGAGUUUACAGAAAUACGAAACGAUCUAGAACAGACUCAAUGAUAUUGGAAAAUGGACUCUUGAUACCUACUAACCUGAAAUUAAAAUUUGGGCAUUUGAUAGCGAUUCCUGACUAAAGUUUACUUCGAGUUACGGUCGCCAUGUGAUACACCAUAUUUAGUGAACCUUUUACCGAGAAGUAGUGCAUCAUGUGCAAGUACCCUUGAUCUUACGACAGCAAUUCUUAACAUAAGUCAAAUUGGGAAAAUCGUUUUUGGAAAGCUAUCAAACCCGUUCCAAAGAGUUCCAUAAGAAUUGUAAUCUUACGACAACGAUUCUUAACACAAGUCAAAUUUUGAAAGUAUUUCGUAAUAAUGCAUCCAGGAUUGCACCAAGGAGUUCCGUAAGAAAGGGAUCAAUACUUACCUACUUCUUACUUGUUGUCUGUACAAUGUCUUCCCGAUCGUCCGUACAAGCACCGUUCUGUCAAGUCCUGAUGUGAAGGUUCGAUUUAUAACACUUUUCUACGUCAACGGAACUUGCGUGAUAUCAAGAAUAACUACUAGACUCGUCCAAGGUCCACUUAUGAUUGAAUUUUAUUUCUACUCAACUUAACUACCGAGGCCUCGUUCUCGGUGGCGGACGUGACCCUUUUUGUUAUGUCAGCAUAACCGCGUUCACUGCCCGGGUGGUCAUCGCCCGGGUGGUGUGAUCGCGUUUAUGCUGAUCAAUUGUUUACGCAGUUUUCACUGCUAUGUUUAUGUAGAGCUUAUCGCUGUUAUAAGAAUGUAGGGCCGCAUCCACCACAGUUCUUUCAGUUGCAUACUUAGCAGCUAUAAAGCUGUUCAUUUUAGUUGCUGGUCAGUUAACAGUUAAUAGUAAUUACUUACAGUUUCAGUAUAUUACGGUGUCUUUUCUGGGUGUCGGUAAUCGGUAAAACGUGGUUUGAACAAUCUAUACACAAAUUACAUAUCAUAAUUUUCCUAUACUGGGCGGUUCUGACUGUAGCUGGCAAACUAAUACAAUUUAUCUUACAAAUACUCGAAAUAAUCUUCUUAAUGUAUCAAUAAUGUGCAUCAAAUGCUGACUCACUGUGUACAAUGAAUACUCUUGAUAAAUAAAUUAUUGCCCAUUUUGUCUGUCCGAAUUGGCAGUCCACCGAAUUCAAUAGCUCUUUAUUACAACUCACAAUCUAUUAGGUACAAUUCUACAAAAAUACGAAACGAUGUAGAACGGAUUUAAAGAUAUUGGAAAAUGGACUUUCGGUACUAAUCUGAAUAUAAAAUUUGGUCAUUUGAUAGCGAUUCCUGACUAAAGUUAUCUUCGAGUUACGGUCGCCAUGUGAUACACCAUAUAUGGCGAGCCUUUUACCGAAAUGUAGUGCAUCAUGUGCAAGUGCCCUUGAUCUUACGACAGCAAUUCUUAGCGCAAGUCAAAUUUGGAAAAUUAUUUUUGAAGAAGCUAUCAAAACCGUUCCAAGGAGUUCCGUAAGAAUUGUAAUCUUACGACAACGAUUCUUAACACAAGCCAAAUUUUGAAAGCAUUUCGUAAUAAUGCAUCCAUGAUUGCACCAAGAAGUUCCGUUAGCAAGGGAUUAAUACUUACCUACUUCUUACUUGAUGUCUGUACAAUAUCUACCCGAUCGUCAGUGCAAGUAUCGUUCUUUGAGUUGCAUGCUUAGCAGCUAUAGAGCUGUUCAUUUUAGUUGCUGGUCAGUUAACCCUUUAAUACCCAAUCCCGCCUUUAGACGGGGUAUAGUUUGAGCAUUUUUGUAAUUUUUGUUUCGUGGAAAAGCAAAAUUUUUAUAUUUUUGGCUGAUAUUUAGGACUGUUUUGUAUAUCUCAAAAUAAAUUUUGGUGUAUUUUGAAACAUACUAACAUUUUUUUAAAAAUCAUUGAAAAAUUGAUGUUUUAGUCACCUUCCAGAAGUCAUUGUUUAUUUUGUUUUAAAUCGCUACAAUUUGACAUAUUUUAAAUUUUUCCCAAAUCAUUCUAUCCUAGUUUAAUAGUUUAAGGGAAUCGAAUAAACUCUAAAAUUAUUUUCCUUUAAAUUACACGGAAAAUAAAAAUUUCAAUGAAAAAAAAAUUAAAUUAAAAUAUUUCAACAAUAAUCAUAAAAUCUCAAAAUGUUUUCAUCUUAAAAAAUACGUACCCCAAAUAGGCAUCCAAGAAAAAUAUAAAAGUGUGGGAAUGUUCAAAAAUAAAAAUUAGAAAAAUCAAAAACUGAAAUUCACGAAAUCGAGAAUUAAAAAGAAUCAUCUUCCAAAACAUGUUUAAAUCGAUUUUAGAUGACGAAAAAUGAUAUUUAGAUCAAAAUCAAAAAUUAGGGUAUUAGAGGGUUAAUAGUAAUCACUUUCAAAAUCUUUUAGGUACAAUUCUACAGAAAUACGAAACGAUCUAGAACAGAUUUAAUGAUGUUGGAAAAUGGACUCUUGAUACUAAUCUAAAAAUAAAAUAUGACCAUUUGAUAGCGAUUCCUGACAAAAGUUUACUUCGAGUUACGGUCGCCAUGUGAUACACCAUAUUUGGUGUACCUUUUACCGAGAAGUAGUGCAUCAUGUGCAAGUGCCCUUGAUCCUACGACAGCAAUUCUUAACAUAAGUCAAAUUGGGAAAAUCGUUUUUGGAAAAGCUAUCAAAACCGUUCCAAAGAGUUCCAUAAGAAUUGUAAUCUUACGAUAACGAUUAUUAACACAAGUCAAAUUUUGACAUCAUUUCGUAAUUACGCAUCCAGGAUUGCACCAAGGAGUUCCGUAAGAAAGGGAUCAAUAUUUACCUACUUCUUACUUGUUGUCUGUACAAUGUCUUCCCGAUGGUCAGUGCAAGCGCCGUUCUUUAAGUUGCAUACUUAUCAGCUAUAAAGCUGUUCAUUUUAGUUGCUGGUCAGUUAACAGUUAAUAGUUAUUACUUAUAGUUUCAGUAUAUUACAGUGUCUUUUCUGGGUGUCGGUAACCGGGAAAACGUCCUUUGAACAAACUAUAUAUAAACUACCAUAUCAGAAUUUUCCCUUACUGGGCGUUGCUGACUUUGGCCAGUAAACUGAUACAAUUUAUCUUACAAAUACUCGAAAUGAUCUACUUAAUGUAUCACUAAUGUGCAUCAAAUGUUGACUCACUGUGUACAAUGAAUACUCUUAAUAAAUAAAUUAUUUUCCAUUCUGUCUGUUGCUGCUGUCCGAAUUGGCAGUCCACCGAAUUCAUUAGCUCAUCAUUAUAAAUCAAAAUCUUUUAGGUAUAAUUCUACAGAAAUACAAAACGAUCUAGAACAGAUUUUAUUAUAUUGGAAAAUGGGCUCUUUAUACUAAUCUAAAAAUAAAAUUUGGCCAUUUGAUAGCGAUUCCUGACUAAAGUUUGAAACGUCUUAUGACCCCGGGAGCACUCGUCGUCCCAGACGGGGACUAACUUAAGCCCCAAGCAGCUGGUCUGAGCCUCGGCCGCUUCCGGGGUGGGCACUCAAGGCCAUCUUUUGCGAGUUUCACGAGGUCAUCUAAAGCACGAGACUGUAGAAUAUUGGUGGGUGCGCUAUCGAGGACCGUCGCGGAGUUAACCUGAGCGUCGUAUGCGGCACGAAAUUCAGGUUGAGAUCCGACUAAGGCUCCGGUAAAGUAGCAUACGGUACCGAUAAUAGUACCACGAAUAAAAGAAUACAGGGAAAACUUCCAACCGACGUAGCCGACACCGGACACUGGGGUGUGAUUUCGCUCCAUGUGAAGGUGUGAGCCAUAAUCGGUGAGUUUGCCGUGCAUUAGGAAAUUCUUGGUAGAAUCGGUAUGAGGAAAGAGACCGAGUUUCUUGACCACGUCAAAAGUUCGAGGAAGGUUGGUGUUCAAGGAAACGACGUAACACAAGCCAGGGACAGCAGCGAUCGCGGACUUGGUUACGGCGACGAGUUUCGGGUUGGGAUCGGAUUUAAAAUCCAAGCAAAAGGCUUGGCAAAAGGAGCGGGACAGGAAGUCUGGUGGGGAGAAUAACUCGUGAUGAAGAGUUUCAGGACGAGCGAAGUGGCGUUGGUCGGAGACCAACUGGUGGCGGACCUCAAGGAGAUCCAGGUUCGAACUGUGGAGUUCAUAUGGGUGCAUCAUUGUAAAUGCCGAUGUUGUUUGCGGUUUAGUGCAGAAGUGUAUGUUCUAUGCGACAGCGCCUAGAGAUGUGUAUAUAUAGUAACUGGUACUACGGAUGUGUUUGGGGUUUAUCCGAAGAGCUCCGCACCACCUUCGUCCAAAAUAAGCUUUAUGCUUACCUAGGUCAGUCUUCUAAGGUUGUCGUUCUCAACUCCUUCUUUGAUCCCUUCGGGAUGAGAGUGCUAGGUUCCUAUUGCUUGGAAUCCUCUGCCGUUGUCACCAACGAGCCGGAUCGUCUUGCCUCCUGUCGCUCUCUCACCGAUCGGUUCGUUGGUGGAUGUUCGUUUUAAAUCUACCGUUUAAAGCCUAACUUAUACAAAAGGUUUCCCUAAUUUCAUACACCGUAAUACACUGAACAAAUUUGUUACCGUUCGGUAACAAGUUAUCUUCGAGUUACGGUCGCCAUGUGAUACACCAUAUUUGGUGAAACUUUUACCGAGAAGUACUGCAUCAUGUGCAAGUGCCCUUGAUCUUACGACAGCAAUUCUUAACAUAAGUCAAAUUGGAAAAAUCGUUUUUGGAAAAGAUAUCAAAACCGUUCCAAGGAGUUCCAUAAGAAUUGUGAUCUUACUACACUGAUUCUUAACUCAAGUUAAAUUUUGAAAGUAUUUCAUAAUAAUGCAUCCACGAUUGCACCAAGGAGUUCCGUAAGAUAGGUGGGAGGGCGCAAAACAUUUUCUUUCUUUUUUGCACUUGCUCCUGAGCUAAACACUUACUUUAAAGAAACCGCGACAUGCCGACUUGGACAGAAACCUCGAACGCGAAAAUAUCGGGAUUUUCUUUCGAUUGAGUAUAUCGCGUCCCUAGUCACGGGACGUUCACUUUCACUAUUUCACUAGUUUAACAUCGAUCCGCGACUAUUUCACUUUACUUAACAUCGAUCCGCGGGAACGAGGUGAAGACGCGCACUAACUCGAGUCGCUCACAUAGAGACUCGAACUUGGACUUUUCUCAACAGUACAGCCAAUCUGGAGUAAUCCAGUUGGGGUACAAUUCAGAAGACAGAUUUGGAAUAGUCGAUAGCCUGAAAGGUGUGUACCAGUCAGGGUCGAGUUCAAAAUCAGAAUCCUCUAUUCAUCAGAUACACUUGCCCUUUUAUACAUUUCAAGGUUCAAUACAUUUCAAGGUUUAACAUAACAAUUUGCUUAAUACAUAGAUGAGACGACUGGAGUGACAAAUAACCAAAAAUGCUUAUGGUUUGUUUUACGUGAGGCCAGGCGCUAGGCUUGCAAUUUGAUCCUUCCACGCCGUAUGCUAUCGGCCCUCGUACCUCACAAGUAGAAGUGGAGAGAGAGUCGAUAGAACGAUGCACUCGUGGUUAACCCUCAAGAGGAUACCUUAAAUGAAGGUCCGUUUUGGGACCCUGGGGUCCAUUGGACCCCAACAUAUAUUCUCGCGUAUAUCGUGAUCCUUACUUUAUGAAAGGAUGAUGUUUUCAGCAAAGAUGUUAGGAAAGUCAAGGCCUAUCUAGUGAUGAACAAUUUAGUUCGGGAAGUUUCCGCUAGGUGGUGCUAGUGAGCAUUGAAAAAUGCCCCCGAUCUACAGGAUAUAACGUACCUAAACAAGCGUACCUAAACAAUUCCAUACAAAAGUUGUUGCACGGAGAAGGGAGGAGCCCUUAAGUUGUCAAAUUUUGCGUUUCGUAAUAUUUGAAUAAACCCAAGAGGUAUCAGAGACAACACAAACUUUCUAUACAUUCCGAAUCUCAAGAUAUUCAAGCUAAAUUUAACUUUCAAUCCAUAAUUUGAAUAAACAAUAGCGCCACCUACUGGGCUAAUUCCAAUUCAAUUUGUUCAUCACAAGAUUGCCCUUGGUUUAUUGAACAAUUUUGUCGAAGACAGCAUUAUUCUAGGGAGUGACGAUCAAACGAUAUAAUCAUUCAUGUCGUGGGGUCCAAUGGACCCCAGGGGACCAAAAUCGCCCAGUUCAACUUUGACAUAAAAAAUAAUCUAUAGUACGCCAUGAAAUAUUUGUUAUUUUUGCACAAAUAACUCAUCGUGGUGUAGUUUGAAGGUACUGUGAAAACGGGACCGAUGUGUCAAUUCAAACUUUUUUGCGACCACUUCAAAGUGGCUCUGGGGUCCAAUGGACCCCAGGUAUCCAUUAGAGGGUUAAUGACUUCCAUAUGUUCUGUUGAUAUUGCAUAACAGUGCGCUUUUGCACUUGUUUUUUUUUUUAUUUUCGGUGUGGGUAUGGUUGGUUUGCUACAGUCGGUCCUCAAUGUUGUGGCAUUUACGUUAAUGGUAUGCUACAAGUAGUCGACAUCACGGGUCAACUGUUGGAAACUGAAUAAAUGUAUUAUGCUUUUCUCUUGACAGAGUUUGUUCAAAUUCACUUUGGUGCCGGGUGCACCGCUGCAGGUCUCACUCCGGGCUGAAGCACCUAAACUGCUGACUUAGCGUUUGACGCGGCGUCGGAUGACGCCCGCUCAGACGCCCAAGUUAUUUCGCCUGGUCGCUGCCUCCAGCGACCGGAUGCGGCUCAUGUUGCGUCGCCAACGCCACACGAUGAUGAUGAUGACCGCCACCAGGAUGAAGCCGCCAUCCAUUGAGUAAGAUAUCACGUCGUGGUACGUGAUGCUGCCAUGUUGAACGUUGUUGCUUUCGUCUUCUCCGAAGGGCCACAUUUUGAAGUUACUGUACGGUUUGUUGAUUGAUCGAUAAUGACGAUCGAUCUAGGCUGCGCCACCCUGCUAGGCUUCCUUGCCUGUUUGCUGGGGGCAUUUUUGUUGAUGACGCUGCUGAUAGGUGAUUGCCCGGGUGGCGACACAAAUUGUGCUGACCACGGGCGGCGAUCGUUGAAUGCGUUUCGCUGCUAUGGAAGUACUUGUCAAAGGGUCGUUACCCAUUCUGACUAUGUGAACCUCCAAUAGGGAUCAAUACUUACCUACUUCUUACUUGUUGUCUGUACAAUGUCUUCCCAAUGGUUAGUGCAAGCGCCGUUCUUUAAGUUGCAUACUUAGCAGCUAUAAAGCUGUUCAUUUUAGUUGCUGGUCAGUUAAUAGUUAAUAGAAAUUACUUAUAGUUUCAGUAUAUUACAGUGUCUUUUCUGGGUGUCGGUAACCGGGAAAACGUACUUUGAACAAACUAUAUAUAAAUUACCAUAUCAGAAUUUCCCCUUACUGGGCGGUGCUGACUGUAGCCAGUAAACUGAUACAAUUUAUCUUACAAAUACUCGAAAUGAUCUACUUAAUGUAUCACUAAUAUACAUCAAAUGUUGACUCACUGUGUACAAUGAAUACUCUUAAUAAUUUUUUUUUUCCAUUCUGUCUGUUUCUGCUGUCCGAAUUGGCAGUCCACCGAAUUCAUUAGAUCAUCAUUAUAGAUCAAAAUCUUUUAGGUACAAUUCAACAAAAAUACGAAACGAUCUAGAACAGAUUUAAUGAUGUUGGAAAAUGGACUCUGGAUACUAAUCUGAAACUAAAAAUUGGGCAUUUUAAAGAGAUUCCUGACUAAAGUUUUCUUCGGGUUACGGUCGCCAUGUGAUACACCAUAUUUGGUGAACCUUUUACCGAGAUGUAGUGCAUCAUGUGCAAGUGUAGACGGUCGUGCGGUCACGGCACUGGAUUUCUUUCCUUUCGUAAUUCCGACACUAGCAAAAUCCAUUAAUUGUUCAAUUAUAUUUACACUCUUUACACUCCUAGACUACUCUUAAAUUAUAACUGUAAGCAGUAAGCAUUCUCUCUGCUUGCAUCGCUUGUUUCUGGUUAACCGGCGUCGGUCUAUAAACAUGACCGUGAAAUCCACAUCUGAUGUAAUCCACUAAUUGCGUGGAGUAUCAUGGGGAAAUAAGGGGUUCUUUCUUAGAUCAAUGGUGAUCAUUGAUCUUUUUGAACUAUUCAAUACGGGGAGGGAAUGCUUCCUUUGGUCGGCAGGACCGCUAUACAAGUGCCCUUGAUCUCUCGACAGCAAUUCUUAGCACAAGUCAAAUUUGGAAAAUCAUUUUUGAAAAAGCUAUCAAAACCGUUCCAAGGAGUUCCAUAAGAAUUGUGAUCUUACGACACUGAUUCUUAACACAAGUCAAAUUUUGACAUCACUUCGUAAUAACGCACCGCGUUAACCGAGUGGCCAAGGGUUUCCACUGAUUUUACACGGAAUUUGUCAUCGAAGGUAAACUCAUAAACAGAUUUCUUAACGUUGUUGGCCAGAAGUUGUAAUUUUCCAAAUGUAGGGGAAAAGCGGGUAACACCGUCAGGGUGGGUAAGCCCGUCACCCCAAUGAUUCUACCAGAAAAUAAUUAUUUAGUAGCUUUUUGGCCACAUACCAUAUUUGUUUUUAUCAUUUUUACUCUUUUAAGACACAUUAUACCAACAUUGACCUGUCAAACGCGAAGAAAAUAAACAAAACAAACGCACACGUUGUUGCACCAACGGUGGAUGUAAUUUUUCGUCGGUAGAAUUUAGCCUCUGGAUUACAAAACAAGUAUAUAAAUUUAUUUUAAUCAAUCAUGUAUUCACAUCUGUACUAUUCUUUAGUGCCAAGAUUUAUCGAACGGUCAGUUUCAACAACUUUUCAGAAAUUACGGUGCAAUUUAGGAAAAGUUGGCUUUUCGGGUAAGACCGUCACUCAUCAGCGAGGGUUAUUUCAGGAACUCUUUUUGGGAUUUCUUCGGGUAUUCCUCCAGUGAUUCUUCAAGGAAUCACCUGAGGGCUGGCAAAAUAGAAUCAUAAUUAUUUUUAUCUUGUUUAGUUAAUCGAGGCGCAAUCACGUUCAACGCUUUACGGAGCCGAACGUUAUAUCAAGCUAAAAGUUACGAUAUAUCGAGGUAUGACCGUGUGUGAUGGGUUCGAUUUCCAGUCGGUCCAGGAUCUUUUCGUAAAGGAAAUUUCCUUGACUUUCUUGGACAUAUACUAUAAAACAUCUUCGUGCCUGUCACACGAUAUACUCAUUCAAAAUGGUCAUUGGCAAAGGCAGCUCUCAGUUAAUAACUGUGGAAGGGCUCAUAGAACAAGCAUAACAACAGGCUUUUUCCAGUUGGAACGUAAUGCCAAGAAGAAAAAGAAGAAGAGAACGAGCGAGGUGUUUUGGUAGUAUGGACUUUUUUACAACGGUGCGAGAGGAUAAAUCAUAGGCUGUUCUUUUCAGUUAUACUGAUGUACAUGGAGAACAACAUCAUGAACGCUUAAGUAGAUUUUUCCUUAUUUUUCAUUCGGCCAAACCGCAAAAUUACCCUUUUGGCCAAAUGGUUGAUUAGAAAAAUUGGUAAACCAUCACAAAUCAUCAAAAAUAUAUUGGAAACAUUUUCAAAUUAAAAUCUUCAAAAGUAUCUUGAAAAAAGGUAUGACGGAGUUACCCCAUAGGGGUGACGGUCUUACCCGCACUGCAUUAACAAUAUCAAUAUUUAAUAUGUUUGUGAUAUGUUCAUAAUUCAAUGGAAUAAACAUAUUUUGAAAAUUUUAAUGCACAAAUCUUAUAAAAUACUCAUGAAUCAAACAUUCUGCGUAGUCAAAAUAUCAAAUUACCUCUUACAUUAAUUUUGAAUAAUCCCAAUGCUUAAGGUGACGGGGUUACCCCUUCAUCCCCUAUCUGUUAAACCUAAAUUACUCAUUUAUUGUUACAAAACUAUAUUUUAGUUUACUUGCCCACUCGUUGAAAUCUUCUUCUCGGGUGUUCAGGCUACGGUUUCGCGUUUGUCCAUCGUCCAUCGUUCCUGACGACGCAAAUGUUCGAUUGGAGUUUUAUUGUUCACUUCUUUGUCACGGUUUAUUUCAAUGGAAUAUAUGGAUUCCAGAUAGUU